rnacentral:hammerhead_ribozyme from 1 species
AUCCAACUGACGAGUCCCAAAGAUGACGAAACGCGCGUCUUGGAU